rnacentral:rRNA from 1 species
AGAGUUUGAUCCUGGCUCAGGACGAACGCUGGCGGCGUGCCUAACACAUGCAAGUCGAACGGAGAUACUUUUGAAGCUUGCGAAGGAGUAUCUUAGUGGCGGACGGGUGAGUAACGCGUGGGUAAUCUGCCCAUAAGCGGGGAACAACAGUUGGAAACGACUGCUAAUACCGCAUAAACUGCCUAAGGGCAGGAAAGGUGGCCUCUGAAUAUGCUGCCGCUUAUGGAUGAGCCCGCGUCUGAUUAGCUGGUUGGUGGGGUAAAGGCCUACCAAGGCGACGAUCAGUAGCCGGCCUGAGAGGGUGAACGGCCACACUGGGACUGAGACACGGCCCAGACUCCUACGGGAGGCAGCAGUGGGGAAUAUUGCGCAAUGGGGGAAACCCUGACGCAGCGACGCCGCGUGAGCGAAGAAGGCCUUAGGGUUGUAAAGCUCUGUUUUAGGGGACGAAAGCUAUAGGGAGAAAUAUGCCCUGUAAAUGACGGUACCCUAAGAGGAAGCCCCGGCUAACUACGUGCCAGCAGCCGCGGUAAGACGUAGGGGGCGAGCGUUGUCCGGAAUUACUGGGCGUAAAGAGCACGUAGGCGGGAACUUAAGUCAGGUGUGAAAGACCGUGGCUCAACCACGGGUAUGCAUUUGAAACUGGGUUUCUUGAGGGCAGGAGAGAAAAGCAGAAUUCCUGGUGUAGCGGUGAAAUGCGUAGAAAUCAGGAGGAAUACCAGUGGCGAAGGCGGCUUUCUGGACUGACCCUGACGCUGAGGUGCGAAAGCGUGGGUAGCAAACAGGAUUAGAUACCCUGGUAGUCCACGCCGUAAACGAUGGAUACUAGUGUGGGGAGGUAUCGACCCCUUCCGUGCCGCAGCUAACGCAAUAAGUAUCCCGCCUGGGGAGUACGGUCGCAGGCUGAAACUCAAAUGAAUUGACGG